CCUACGGGAGGCAGCAGUGAGGAAUAUUGGUCAAUGGGCGUAAGCCUGAACCAGCCAAGUCGCGUGAGGGAUGAAGGUUCUAUGGAUCGUAAACCUCUUUUAUAAGGGAAUAAAGUGUGGGACGUGUCCUGUUUUGUAUGUACCUUAUGAAUAAGGAUCGGCUAACUCCGUGCCAGCAGCCGCGGUAAUACGGAGGAUCCGAGCGUUAGCCGGAUUUAUUGGGUUUAAGGGGUGCGUAGGCGGCCUUUUAAGUCAGCGGUGAAAGUCUGUGGCUCAACCAUAGAAUUGCCGUUGAAACUGGGAGGCUUGGGUAUGUUUGAGGCAGGCGGAAUGCGUGGUGUAGCGGUGAAAUGCUUAGAUAUCACGCAGAACCCCGAUUGCGAAGGCAGCCUGCCAAGCCAUGACUGACGCUGAUGCACGAAAGCGUGGGGAUCAAACAGGAUUAGAUACCCGGUAGUC
rnacentral:rRNA from 1 species